rnacentral:rRNA from 1 species
UGCCAGCCGCCGCGGUAAUACGGAGGGGGUUAGCGUUGUUCGGAAUUACUGGGCGUAAAGCGCACGUAGGCGGCUAUUUAAGUCAGAGGUGAAAGCCCAGGGCUCAACCUUGGAAUUGCCUUUGAUACUGCCAGUCUUGAGUUCGGGAGAGGUGAGCGGAAUUCCGAGUGUAGAGGUGAAAUUCGUAGAUAUUCGGAGGAACACCAGAGGCGAAGGCGGCUCACUGGACCGAUACUGACGCUGAGGAGCGAAAGCGUGGGGAGCAAACAGGAUUAGAUA